CACUCAUUGCCGCCGUUGAGUGGGACAAAGAGAGUGAACGCACACACGACAGUCGCGCAGCAAGCGUUCACAUGAGCAGGCAGAGGCAGCCAUUGCCACUGAACGGUUUUCAUAUGCAGGUUAACCUAACACGCGCACACUGGAAAUCUAGAUAUUUGAGAAGAGAAUUAAAUAAUGAUAACCGUUCACAAUGAACACGGAGAAGCUACCUAAUGAUACAGGGAGAAAUGACCUCUAAAACUCGAAUUUUUAAAUCUCGUUUCCGGCUGGACUGGGCAGAUGAAAACACAUCUUUGAAUGAACCAAAUGAGCGCAAUUAGCAGUUGAGGUUGAGACACAAUUGUGUGUCAUAGUGAAGUUAAUUAAUCAGAAAAUUGUAACAAAGCGAAAAAAGGGAUGUGUUAGAUACAGAAGCGCCUAAAAUGCAGCUCUGUUUCGUUAGGUUUUCCUAAACACGAAUGAAGUCUACUUCCUCCCGUGUACUAUAAGGCGUACAUGACAGUUUUUUUAACAACUGAGUAGAAAUGUUCUUAAGAAAUGUGAAGCAUAACUAGUAGUGUUAAGGAUACACUUACCUCAUCA